UCCCUGGUGGUCUAGUGGUUAGGACUCUGCACUUCCAUUGCAGGGGGCAUGGGUUCGAUCCCUGAUCAGGGAA